rnacentral:rRNA from 1 species
GAUGAACGCUGGCGGCGUGCCUAAUACAUGCAAGUCGAGCGAAUGGAUUAAGAGCUUGCUCUUAUGAAGUUAGCGGCGGACGGGUGAGUAACACGUGGGUAACCUGCCCAUAAGACUGGGAUAACUUCGGGAAACCGGGGCUAAUACCGGCUAACAUUUUGAACCGCCUGGUUCGAACUUGAAAGGCGGCUGCGGCUGUCACUUAUGGAUGGACCCGGGUCGCAUUAGCUAGUGGGUGAGGUAACGGCUCACCAAGGCAACGAUGCGUAGCCGACCUGAGAGGGUGAUCGGCCACACUGGGGCUGAGACACGGCCCAGACUCCUACGGGAGGCAGCAGUAGGGAAUCUUCCGCAAUGGACGAAAGUCUGACGGAGCAACGCCGCGUGAGUGAUGAAGGCUUUCGGGUCGUAAAACUCUGUUGUUAGGGAAGAACAAGUGCUAGUUGAAUAAGCUGGCACCUUGACGGUACCUAACCAGAAAGCCACGGCUAACUACGUGCCAGCCGCCGCAGUAA